UCUCCAGACUCCUACGGGAGGCAGCAGUAGGGAAUUUUGCGCAAUGGGGGAAACCCUGACGCAGCAACGCCGCGUGAUUGAUGAAGCCCUUCGGGGUGUAAAGAUCUGUCAGUGGGGACGAAACUUGACGGUACCCACAGAGGAAGCAUCGGCUAACUCCGUGCCAGCAGCCGCGGUAAUACGUAGGGGGCAAGCGUUAUCCGGAUUUACUGGGUGUAAAGGGGGCGCAGACGGCAAUGCAAGCCAGGAGUGAAAGCCCGGGGCCCAACCCCGGGACUGCUCUUGGAACUGCAUGGCUGGAGUACAGGAGGGGCAGGCGGAAUUCCUAGUGUAGCGGUGAAAUGCGUAGAUAUUAGGAGGAACACCAGUGGCGAAGGCGGCUUACUGGACUGUAACUGACGUUGAGGCUCGAAAGCGUGGGGAGCAAACAGGAUUAGAUACCCGGGUAUU
rnacentral:rRNA from 1 species